CCCUUUAACGAGUAUCUAUGAGAGGGCAAGUCUGGUGCCAGCAGCCGCGGUAAUUCCAGCUCUCAAAAUGCAUAGAAUUAUUGCUGCGGUUAAAAAGCUCGUAGUUGGAUCUGUGCAGUGGGUGUCGGUCCACCUUCGGGUGCGUACUGGCUUACCCCUGCUUUCACUGUCGGUUUGCCCCGUCGUCGCCUUCAUUGGUGGCGGCGGGUGGCUGACGAUUUUACUUUGAACAAAUCAGAGUGCUUAAUACAGGCGUUUCGCUUGAAUGUUCUUGCAUGGAAUAAUAGAAAAGGAUUUCGGUUCUAUUUUAUUGGUUUUAUAGACUGAGAUAAUGGUUAACAGAGACAAACGGGGGCAUUCGUAUCGCUGCGUGAGAGGUGAAAUUCUUGGACCGCAGCGAGACGAACUACAGCGAAAGCAUUUGCCAAGAAUGUCUUCAUUAAUCAAGAACGAAAGUCAGAGGUUCGAAGGCGAUCAGAUACCGCCCUAGUUCUGACCGUAAACGAUGCCAACUAGCGAUCCGUCGGCGGAUAUUUCGCCCUGAUGGGGAGCUUCCCGGAAACGAAAGUCUUCCGGUUCCGGGGGAAGUAUGGUUGCAAAGCUGAAACUUAAAGGAAUUGACGGAAGGGCACCACCAGGAGUGGAGCCUGCGGCUUAAUUUGACUCAACACGGGGAAACUCACCCGGCCCGGACACCGUAAGGAUUGACAGAUUGAUAGCUUUUUCAUGAUUCGGUGGAUGGUGGUGCAUGGCCGUUCUUAGUUCGUGGAGCGAUUUGUCUGGUUUAUUCCGAUAACGAGCGAGACUCUAGCCUACUAACUAGUCCACACAUUGCUACUGUGUUGUGCGACUUCUUAGAGGGAUUUUCGGUGUUCAGCCGCACGAGAUUGAGCAAUAACAGGUCUGUGAUGCCCUUAGAUGUCCGGGGCUGCACGCGCGCUACACUGG
rnacentral:rRNA from 1 species